rnacentral:lncRNA from 1 species
AGAGAAGCCUUGGAUACGUAGGCGUCUCUAACUUCACCUGGGGGUGUUUCCUACACUCUGUCCACGGCUUGUUGCUGUGGCCCCUGAACUCCAACUUCAAAUUCAUCAUCCCGACUCUGAUGUUCUUCUACUCUCUGCUCAGUGCAUCCAGAAGUUCCUGAAGAAGUUGUGGGAAGGAGGUCCCCUUUGAGGAGAAACCCCAGCCCUGAGAAGCUGUAGCUGUAACUUGUUAUAAUAAAUUGGUUUCUCUUUAGCCA